UAACCAACCAAGCAUAUUUUUAGGGGACAGUAAUCUCUGGGCAAUGCCGCGCCGUUAGUUUAUUAGAGAGAAUAAACUCUGAGAGCAGAUAUAGAUUUAUUUCCAGCAUUAUCUGUGUAGAUCCUGUUAACGAAGGCGGGGUGGUGAGCGAGUGCUCUGCCAUUGCGAGGCUACGAAGGCCGAGGGGAGGGGAGGCUGAUAGGACGUUGGUGAAACCAUUUGUACUAUCUACUAGUAUUAUUUGCACAUGUUCAUCAAAUUAAGGUAACGAUCAUUACAUUAAGUUUUGCAUAAUGAUGUUGAAUUAUUUAUGCACCUUCAGUGAAGGUGCAUAAAUAAUUAUAUAUUAUCACUUCAAGUCAACAAGAUAACAAUGAGAAUUUAUGUCGUUGUGUGUAACCUCGGUCCCUAUCGCCUAACCGUUAUAAAAACGAAAACUCGACGUGGUAUAGAUCUAGUUGGGCGGAGCCCGACCGUCCCUGACGGGAGGUCGGGUUUCAAGCCUAUGUCAGGAUUUGUCUUGCUAAAUUAUGUAACACGCUGAUAAGCAGCUAUGAAUAAUCAUUAAUUUUUAUUCUAUGAAUAUUAUUAUUCUGAAGUGGGUGUUAACCAAUUUUAUCUUGCUUGAGGUUGCACAACGUGACACACACCACAGUAGAAAUGCUACAAUCUGAUUGGGCUACAACUAUAGUUGCAGCAAAGACAAAUCCUGACAUAGGCUUGAAACCCUACCUCCGCCCAACUAGUAUAGAUCUACAUUGAAGGUAGUGUUUAUAGUUUAUACCGACUCAGAAUGAUCCGUGGAUUAGUUUUACCUUGUAUACUUCACUCAAUGUCGUGAAACAGUUCGUUGAGCAAUGAGUGCAUGCAUGUGAGGCUAGCUAUUACGGAGCAUUACUGUAGCUUGUUUUACCCUAAUGGCCCACACAUAACUGCAUGCACAUUCAAAUUAAGCCUUUGGUCCUUUAAAUAUCAUCUAUCAAAACUGUUGUUUACACAGAUGCAGAUUACACUGCCUAGUAGCCUCGAUUCCAGGCCGCGAAUCGAGGCUAACUGCCUAGCUGCAGUGUCAGCUCUCUAUUCUGGGUUCUGAAAUGGUUGUACUGCAUGGGCAUUAUCACCCCAUCUACGCUUGCUUGGAGGAAUGUGGUCGGCCAUUAAAAGUUCAGUUUCUACAAGGAAAAGGGAUGAAAGGACAGUUUUUGAUCAUUAUUUUACUAUCAUCCAUCAAAGAUUUGUACUGAUGUGUUAUGUUUAGGGCUUAGCAAAUUAAUAUGCUUUUUAUUCAAAGAGUCGGCCAGUUUGGUGUGCCCAUUAUUCCAGUCAAUUUAUUUGUAGCUGUAUUGAUAGCACUACCUGAGGUAGUCUCGUUCCCAGCCUCGUUGUCUCUAUAUAGCUAGUAUUUUUCAACUUCGUUCUAUUAAAAAAAAUCGCCCCGGGACCGAAGCUUAUACCUGAGGUAGCAUUUAUACAAACAGUGCACGAAAUAAUUAUAAUCCUCUAAUGCCGAAAGAGAAAAUACUCCUCCAUGCCUGCCUAUAGACUCGCUGGCCAGUCCAUCCUAGGGAUUGGGACUGGUCAACUGCCAAUCAACGAGUUAAUUGUUCUAAUGACCAUACACAGUGCAGAAGCAAUGUCAUCUGACAUAUUUCGCCCACGUAAUUCAUUGUAGUUGGGCUGGGUCUGAGUCUGAUGUUGUGUUAGAUACCACAGGACAUAACCCACAUUCACUUGAUAGUUACGCAACUUUGGUCAACCGCACAAACCACAAGAUUAUGUCAUACAUCUUAUUAAAAUUCCACUAGAACAACUCGAUGAUUGGCAGUUGACCAGUCCCAAUCCCUAGGAGGAUGGACUGGUAAGCGAGUAUAGCCUGCCUAGUGGCUAGUGCUUACAGUACAGUAAUAGAUGUCUAUCUAGCUACAUUAUAAAAUGUGAAAUUAAGUCUACCAGACUCUGAGGUCAAAUUAUGCUAAUUUAGUGCCCUAUAAUAAUAAUUAUUAUUCUCAAGUUAUGCUAGUUGCUAGAAGUAUCCCUAUUAUUCAAAAAAUUAAGCUAGCAUACCGGUAAUUUGCUAAGCCCUAGUUAUGUUCCUGCUAGGCGUAUGCCAAAUAUUCAAAAUUAAUCACCUAUUUCAUUCACACUUGAUCAGCGUAUUAUUCAACUUCAUCAAAUUGAUGACACCUAUUAUUCAACAUACACAGCAGCAAAAUAAAAUUAUAUAGCACCAAAAAAUAAUGGGAUUAGGUCAUUACUUUUUAAUUUCAGCAGCGAAAUAACAAACUUGUAGCACAAAAAUUUGGUUUCAACAUUGAUUGGACUACAAUCAUAAAAAUUAGCCGUGUAAGAUGUGGGCGUGUUCUGAGCUACUGCGCAUGUGCAACGAAAUCAUUAACUAUUUUCACAGUGCCUAUUGUUCAAGUUGUAAAAAAGGCUGCCUAUUAUUCAAAAAAUUAUUCUGGAAUAUUUGGCACAGUCCCUGCAGGUAUGUAUAAAAACUGAAUUAUUAGCGCUUUUACUUGAUUAAAAACAUUCAAUUUUAGGUUUUUUGUACCGGUACUUGAAGUGUACAUGAUUAUGAUAAUGACUAUAAAUCUAGUUAUAGGGUUGCUUGCUUGCCUACUAUGCAGCUAGCUGGCUAGCGAGAUAUCCGGUUAGUAGGCUUGAAGUAUUUAGAUCUAGCUUGCUAUUGACCCCAUUAAUGCAUACGCUAAUCAUCCGGUUUCUACGGUAGCUCAGUGGGAAUAGUCUGAUGGCUAGAUUACUGUCGGCAUGUUGUUGUGUUGUUGUUUUUUCUUGAGUACUCCAGGUCUAUAAAUCAAGACAUUAAUUUAGUGCCUAAAAUAUUUUUGUGACUUGUCGAAUGAAGGUGAGGCUCAUCAAAUUUAAAAUCGGCUAUUAUACACCAAGAUACAAUUUCAUACGUGAUCAAUAAUGACUUGCAGCAUGAUCAUCAAAUUGAUUAAUAUUUCAUGCCUCAUUCGGAGCUGUAUGGGCAGGUCCAAAAGUGUUCGCAUUGCAUUUAAAAGUUCCACUUACGGUUAUAAAACUUAAUUGUUGGAAACUAGCUAUAAAAAAUAUAAUUGUAGGUUUCUAGUCUAUUAGUUAAAGGUGAUAUACACUUUAUCAAUCUCCGUCAACACAUCACGAUAAAGUGGCUCAUUCCGUCUCAGUAUCUGAACAAAGUCUGCAAACCUUUUGGGAAAAUUUUUAACCACUGAAAGCACUGCUGAGUACAAUCGACUCCCCUUAGAGCUCUUAAUUUCAUUCAGUUCCUCUGUUUGAUCAACGGUAGUCUGAGCAAUAAUUCCUUCGGCCAAUAGAGCCUGAGCGAGUAAUUUUGGCUCUUUAGACAUUGCAGAGUUGAGAAUCACACUACAUUGGGUCAUUGUGUUGUAGGCAUUGAAGCAAUCACUUUGGGAGUAGUCAAUCACUCCUGGAGCUGCAUGAGAGAGAAAUUACUUUUAUAGUGCAAAAGUAAUGUUGAAUUGGAAUGCUUGUUGCACGGGAAAAAGUUAGACGUUGAGUUCACUGCUGCGUUAAAGGUUUCUACUUCACAUACAUUCUUGAUGAUUAAACACUAAUUGAUUCGGAGUGGUACAGUGGAAGUGUUGGCGGACAAAAGAAGCCCACCCUUUUUGUAUUGAACAUGCAUUCACACAUUUGAGCUUAUUCAUGACUUGUUGAAAACUGUGACCCAUGCAAUAGUAGCUAUGCUUACAGCUUGUAGAUGUGGGGCUUGGACCAGCCUCAGCAGACUGAUCCCAUACAGCACCAGCUUGUUCUAUAAGAGAGAAAUUCAUAGUUAAGAGGAGAACAAACACUUUUAGGGUAGCAAAUUAAUGAGUCUUCCAGAAUCAAUCCAUUAAUAUGUGAUCGGUUUUGGAAAAGGCAAUAUGCUAGUCCUAGAAUAAAAUCAGGGCAAUGCCAUUCGCCUUUAAGGUUAGCUGCUAGUCGUUAACACUUAAACAGUGCAACUGUGUUAGUGUGAUACCAGCACAAGCAUUGGGUGCACUCUCCCCACAUUUCCGGCAUCUUGCGAGUGCACUGGACAGCAAAAAACAGUGGCCACACAUUUUCAAAGCGCUUCCUUCCUCAAUUUACUGCAUGCAUGGGAAUAGUAGUAUCUGUGUAUUGUGUAGGCGUUUAUUACCUAGCAGCAUCUGUAGAGGGGGCGUUUAAACGAGAUGGGCGCUUAUUCGAAACGGGCGUUUAUUGUUUUGUCUACUUCAAACUUUUGCUCAUCAGCAGUUAUUAUGCUCUUUUUGGCUGCUGCCACAGCUCUCAGCUUCAAUCUUAAGUCGUAGGAGUGGUGUUUCUCCCUCUGUGUCCUCUCUGCCAUCAUAAAUAGUAUCUAUUUAUUCUAUGCUGCCAUUGUUUCAGCUGGUUCCACGUGCUAAUUCAGCUCCACCCACAGUGCCACGCCCCAUACAUGGGCGAUUAUAAGAGGGGCGUUUAUUGACAAAGACAGCUUUUACCAUAGGCGUUUAAACGAGAUGGGCGUUUAAUCAAGGAGGGCGUUUAAUCAUCAUUUCAUGUCCAAGUUAUGCCCGUUGGAAACUCAAAGCUGUGGAAUAUCAGUUGACCCGCUUGACCAGCCCCCAAUCCAACUAAGUAAAACCAACACCUUAAGAUGGCGGACUCAUGGCACAAGAAAAAGGUGCUGGCUAACUGCCCUGCUAAUCGAACUUCACACUCCACAACGUGCAUUUAGGGAUGACUAGCUCAAAAUAUAUGAAUGACAACCAGAAAAAACAAGCAUGAUUUGGCUGAAAUUUCUAAAAGUGAUGCAUUCCAAUGACGUAGCGUGUCACGGAUAGUUAUGCAGUUUGAAUGGCCGGAACAUAGACUCACAACUGCGUGUACACUAUACCGUAAUAAGUACACUUGCAUGUUGCAUUUUGCCUGAGGACAAAGGAAACAAUUAAUUAUAUGCCACAUUCCAGGAUAAGAUAUCUGAGUUAGUAUAAAGCUACCCACCGAACCAUUACCCGAAAAUAAGCAUUAAAAAUCAUUUUAUUCAUGUCGUCAUCUCAGCACACCACAGUUGCAAACUAAGUGUCCUAUAAAAGAAGUGAUGUGUACACAGAAGAUAUGUACUCAUGUGCACAUUGGAUAUAUUGGCUGGUAUAAUUAUGGCAUACUAUUUGUUCUAAAAGAGUGGCGCUAAUCUUUGUAUGUGUGUUGUGUGGCGACAAGCUAAAAGAGUGGCGCUACUGAACUUUGUAUUUGUGUGGCGAUAAAGCUAAAAGAGUGGCGCUAAUUAAUCUUUGUAUUUGUUUGGCGCUAAACUUUGUUUUUGUGUGGCGACAAGCUAAAAGAGUGGCGCUAAUUUUGUCAAGUUUGUGAGGCGACAAGCUGGUACAAAUUUUGUGGGGGCUGGCUAUGCAAAAAGAGUGACGCUAAUGCAAUGGAUACAAAUAGUGGCGCUAAUUUGUGUGUUUUGAGUGGUUUCACUUAGCUCAAAAUUAAUGACCUUUGACUAACGUAGUUUAUAUAAAGUGCAGUGCUUUUUCUUUCUUGCCUCCAGUUUUGGAGAGUGCACGUGACCGCAUGGCAAGUACAGGAAAAUUGAGUGUGUCUACUGUUAUUUAUUAUUAAUUCAAUGACAGAAAGUCUAGUUGAGGAACAUCCUCUGUGUUCAAACUGUCUGAUAUUACAGAUGAAACUUAACCAACCACUUCAUUUUGUUUUAUCUCCACACAAACAAAACACAAAGUUUAAGGCACUCUUUUAAUUUGUUGCAAACACAAUCAGCACCAGCUUGUCGCUAUACACAAACACUCUCUUUUGAGUAGCCCCACAAAAUUAGCGCCACUGUUUUUAGCUUGUCACACACAUACAAAGUUUAGUAGCGCCACUCUUUUAGCUUGUCGCCACACAAAUACAAAGUUCAGUAGCGCCACUCUUUUCUUAAUUGUCGCCACACAAGAACGAAGUUUAGCGCCAUGCACUCUUUUAGCUUGUCACCACACAAAAACAAAGUUUAGCGCCACUACUUUUAGCAUACUUUUGGAACAAAUAGCUUGCCAUACUGGUAUAUAGCCCUCGAGACCUGCAGCCGUAACAUGUGACACUCGUGGUUGUGUCACAACUAUUGCAUAAUUAUAUAUACACAAUAAACUCACGUUUCUUCUUAUAUGCUUUGUUCAAAACACCAUAAUCGUUUUCUGAUGGCUUAUCAGGUAGCGCACCAUUGGAAAAGUCACGUUGAUGAACACCGUCUAUCACUCUUUUCUCUUCUAGUUUGAGUUUGUCAUACUCAGGACUUUUAACUUGGUAUGCUGGCUUCAACCACUUUAUGUCAAACCUAAAACAGUAGUAUAAACAGCAGGAUCACGGCAUGCAGGGACGGCAUGCAUGUUAAUGAACUACGGAGCAAUUCACAAAAAUUAUGGUAAGCCCUCAGGGCCUGUUUCAAAAAUGUACUAAAAUAGUACAAUACUGGCGGCAACAAAUAGACAAUUUGCUUGUGAAAUCAGUAACGGGAACAAGCAUGCAGUAUGAACAGUUGACUUACCAGUAGUGCAUUAUGCUGUUUGGGUCAUACUCCGAUUGCUCCUGUUUAUCAUACGAGACAUUAUAACGUCUCAUAAAAACUUCAUUGUGAGCUUUUUUACACCCAUCACCAUUCUUCAUUUUUUCCUCCCCAAUGAUAAAUCGAUCGUCACCAUUUCCAUCUUUUUCCCCCAGUAUGUCCCAAAAGUCAGAGCGCUGAUGCUCGUGAUCCAAACCCAAAGCGUGGCCAAACUCAUGAAGAACAUAGCUCUUUUUUUCUUUAUCUGAUAAAUUGCACAAGUCAAGGCACAUCGUAAGCUUUCCAGGAUACUUGGUGGCAUCAGAUCCGAUGUAAGACCAGCAUCCUUCAGCUGUAAUUUUUUCACAGAAACAAUUUGCGAGCCAUAGCGCUAUUAUACGUAUCAAUCACACAAGUUGCUACACAACUGUGGCUAAAACAAAACACACUGCACAUAGAUGUGCCAAUAGUAUACAUGUGGAGUAAUAGGGUAUACAUAUUAGUUAUUGCCCAGCACCAAUAACUAACUUGUUGCCCAAUGACGUCAAACUCUUCUGAUUGGUCAAUUUUUCCCUAUAAAUUGACAUGUGUUUUGAGUGGAAUUUUAGUAAGUUUUGCUGAAUUUCAUAGUAAGGUUUUCUUCCCACAACUAAUGGAAAAGGUGUAGCCUAUAAAAGGAACCGUUGGGUAGGUUGGCGUAAGUCCCAAAAGUAGAUGUCUUUCUCAAAAUCUACUGCAUUUACACACAGUGCAAGUGCAUAAUUAUAUAUAAUCCCUGUUUGAUAAUAGCUAAAUGAAAAUGACUAUAGCAGCUCAGACAGUCGACUUGUACUUUCUCUCUGUACAGUAGGAACUACACUAUUAAUAUAGUGUAUUCACCCAAAUUACCGGGAAACUCUAUUCUAAGGGACACUUCGGACUUACGUAAUUUUUUUCACUCUAUAUUAUUAAGGAACAACAGGAAAUGUAAAUAUUUUUAGACGUCCCGAUCUAAAAUGUCAUCACCAACUGCAUAACUAUCCUCUGGGUUUCCAUUUUCCUGUUUUGUCAACAGCUGUUCUCCCUAUUUGUGGAUUCCACACAUCUUUGUAGACAUGGUACCCGCGUACACAGCUUCUAAACUGCACGAAAUACAUUUUAGCUGCAGAGCUAGCCUCGGCCUGGAAUCGAGACCGUGUCCGUACCUUAAAUGGGGAAAUCUUCGUUCUAAUUACUACGGGACACCCUAAUACAAGGGACACUUCGACUUUCUUGCUCUAUUCCAAGGGACACUGCAAGCCGUAAUUAUUUUUUUGUGUCCCGGUAAUUCGGUAUCUAUCAGGCAUGACGCAGUAUAGAUCUACUUUAUGAUACCUGACCUAUGCUGAUCUGCCUGCUGUCGCCUAUAGCUCUGGCUCUUCUGCACCUCCCCUUGUGUUGCUACAGAGAUCGAUAGAGCUAUAGAUACAGCUAAAAGCUUAUGGGGGAAGAUAAAGUUGCAUUGGCUUGCAGAGUUGCAGUACAAGGUGGCCAUGCCAAUCUAGGUAAGUGCAUCGUUUGCUUCUUUAUUGCCUUAUAUAGCGCCCCCGGGGGGAGUCCAAUCCACAUCCGUUACAGACAUAAUUAUAGAGGAUAUGCCAAAAAUCAUGAAAAAGGGGCGUGGUUACAUAUAAUUAUGUGCCAUUUUGAGUUGACAAAAAAUACCUUGAUACAUAGGCUAAAUGCUAAAAGUUGAGCUACGGUUAGAGUUGCUACACUGUUGGUAGUGCAUCAGACACUCUAAAGGAUCAAGACUAUCAUUCUUCUAUAUCUAGAAUGCCAUAGUUGAUGGAUAGCUGCAGUCAAGAGAAAGAAUGAGGAGCAGCAAAACUACCGUUUUGUUAUUCACUCUAUCACAGGCAGAAAGAGAUCCAUUCUAUGCUCCUUUUCUUGACGUGAUAGCUUUAUAGCACUUCUUGAAAGUAAUCGGAGACUUUCCUGGCAUCACACUCAGCCAUAUAAUUAUAGUAGAGCUGAAAACGUUUGCAAAUAACAUUGCUACCACUUGCUACUCAUGCUUUUUACCACUCAAAAUGGCUGACGUAUGUAAGUGGGCGGAUCCGCAUAACUUCUACAUAAUUAUAUACAAAUAUACAAAUAAUUUUAUAUAUCCACGUGGAGGUAGCACGAUUAUUCGCCUUGCUUCCUGCUCGCAUAAUUGUGUGAUUCAGAAGUGCUUUUUUCACCUAAAUCGAUACGAUUGGUUAUGUAUCAGUUGUCGAUCAACAAUGAUCUUGUGCAAGUGUAUGAACACUUGAAACAUGUAUUGAGCAAACUUACAUGACUUUAAUUCCACUCGAAUGUGUGCCUGAUCUUUUUCUUUUGGGUCAACCAGAGAGAUAGUAGGAUAAUAUUCAGCGUGCUCAUUCCAUGGCUGUACCCAGUCCAAAAUUUGUGGAGGGUUUAAACCAUAACCUCCGUACUUACAAUUCACUAGUACUUCAGGAUUCAUGAAAUGGACCUUGAGCUCUUUGACAUUCCACAACUUGCUCAAGCGGACUGCUCCCGACGAAGCAAUGUCUGGAACAUUGCUUAUAAUUAGAUGAUCUGGCCUGUGACCUUCCAAAUCUUUUUCAGUGCAGAACAGGACCCGAGCUAUCUGUAAAGUUUAAAGUACAACUGUAUAUAGUUACAGUUUCAUUGUGAGCAUUUAUAGUCUGACAGAUUAAGUAUGACUUGUACAGUGAGACUUACAUUUUCCAUGCUAUAUUUAAACUUGAAUCUCCCCUAACUUUUCCAUACAAGAUUUAAGGGGUGUAUCUAAAAAAAUGAAAUUCAUUAGGUAAUGCUUCAAUAAUAUUAUGAUAUCAUGCACACACCCAUUUUUUGGCAUUGCCUGUCACACAUAACUAGGGAUACACUGGAGUGCAAACCUCGCUACGUAUGCGCACACAUAGUUUAGCAGAUUUGUUUCCGGCUCUGAUCUAUACCUAAUAAUCGUCACAUAAGAAAGCUAGGUCUAUAUGCAUUCAAUCUGGUAAAGACGUCUAAUGGUCGACACACAAAAAAGCUAGAUUUAAGUUCAACUGUCCAGGCUGUGAGUCGACGUCCCUCAGCAUCUGCCAAGACUCCACACCAAGUAUCCAAGUUCACCAAAAGUCCAGGUAGAGCUCCUUUUGCCUCGACGUCAACCACCACUACCACCACCACCGCCACGGAAAAUCUCGAUAGGACCCGAACAUAACCUCGUUUCGCUCGGAAUUAAAUAAUGGAUCUUGGCGCCACCCUACAAUCAACUGGUUUUUUAACCUAAUCAUGGAUUAGACUUUUAGAAGAGGACCCAAAUCCUAUCGUGUAUACAAUGACUUGUAUAUGUGACAGGCUCUGGGAAAACCAGACAUUUGGAGCAGAAUUUGGUAUUGAGCUAUAGCUAAAUUUGUGCCUACAGUGUAAAAUCUCAAAUAAAAUUUUAUUGGUGUAUAAGUAUCUAUAGUCCUUCUACUACCUCUCUGUAAAAUCUGAUGCUCUAAAUCCAACUCUUUCCAUCGAAGCGCCUCAUCCAAACUUUCGCUAUUACCUUAUUUUUCCUAAUUGAGCAAUCUUUGAGAGGCGUUUUUCUCUUUUACGGCUUCAAGUUUCUAACGAGCAUAACUCGGGUAUGAAACUAGGUAUGUGAACACUAAGCAUAUCAUUAUGUAGGCAAUGCUCUGCUCUAUCACUUGGUACAUUAAUCAACGAAAUUUUAGUCUGCUCCAAAUGUCUGGUUUUCCCAGAGCCUGUCACAUAUAUACAAUAAUUAUGAAAUGCUCUACAUGCACUUACUAAUAGUCACGGAGUUAGCCUGUAUAUUCAAAGACUCAAGAACAAUGCAUUUAGAAAUCAAUGCACUAUAGUCUUAACUAUACAUAGCCUAGCUAAGCAUACUGAGUCAUAACCUAUACAGAUAUCUUGAAAUCUCUAGCUAUUGCAACAGCUAAAUUAACAGCUAAUCAUUUUAAUUGACGAGUAAUUCCUAUCACACGCACAGAACAUUGAAGACGAGUUAGACACUCUUCAACAUUAUGUACAUGAGACUACCAGGCCUCUGGACAUCCAUUUCGAACCCAUCGAAGUAGGAUAAGACACAUUCUCUGUGAGCGAGAACAUUCCUGAUUAUGAGGCAUAUGUGGAACAGAAUGAUCAAUCGUCACACAUUAACAGUCUUAAACAGUUAGAAGAAAGGAGACACUCUAUCAGACUCACAUUGACUUGUACCGGUACGAAGCACAUCGAAGUUGAUAUCGUUGAGGAUGUUCUCGCACUCUAUACCGAAGACCCAGGUAUUGUAAAUAUGGAGCUUGUGGUCACAUUCCGCAAUGAGAGUAUAGCAGUGGGCUUCAUAGGGAGUUGUUUUCAAUAUUUUGGCAUGCUGUUGAGUAACGUAUGAUGAAAGGGAAUGCAGAGAAAGUUCCAAUACUCACUCCACGGUCAGCCAAGUACUUUUACACUAUAUUGUCACACGGUUAUGUGCUUACGGGCCUAUUUGCUUUGCUUCACCUUUUUUCCUGGGCCUUAUCAACGAUCAAAGUGUUACACCUGAUGAUAUACUACUUCAAUCGUUCUUAAAUUACAUUGACCCAAGAGAACGUGUAGCAGUUGAGGCAUGCAUUUCUGCAAAUGACACUUCAGCAGUAUUAGAGAAUGUAAUCAUUCCGAUGCUGGCGAGAUUCAAUUGUGAUGUCAUCCCAAAGAAAGAAAACAUCGGAGAGGUACUACUACACACAGCUGAAUACGCUCUUGUCUGUCAACACUACUAUGCAAUAGUACAAAUAAGGAGAGGGAUGUUGUGUGCAAAUCCAAGCUUGUGGAGACAUUAUGCUUUAGCCGUAGGAAUUGAGCUCUGUCAUUCGCUUCUUCCAACGAAUAUGAAAGUAUGGAAUAUGGUGGAAGAGCCGGUAUAUCGCAACAGUACUGAAUCUAGGUGUUUCGAUUACCUCCGCCGGUUUAUUUUCACACUCUCUGCUGAAUCCUUGUCUCUGUUGCUUCGAUUCGUUACUGGCAGUCCUCAUUGUGUAAACCAAACUGUGAGUGUUGAUUUUUUUGUGCCGUCAUCAUCAUUUGUUAAAAGGCCAACUGCAACAACAUGUGGGAUUGUUCUUCACCUGCCGUCUACUUACGAGUCCUUUUCUCAGUUCUCUCAGAAAUAUCAUUGAACAUUAAUUGAUUUAUGGUCUGAACUAAACUAAACUAAUGUUUUGUUCAUUUAUAUAUAUAAUUAUGGUUCUUGAAAAUUUAUUUUCCGUUAAUUGUUUUGUACCCUUGAUUUUAAUCGUUUUCGAAUUAUCAUAAAA